CCUACGGGUGGCAGCAGUCGGGAAUAUUGCGCAAUGGGGGCAACUCUGACGCAGUGACGCCGCGUGCAGGAAGAAGGUUUUCGGAUUGUAAACUGCUUUAGACAGGGAAGAAACCCCCCAGUACCUGUAGAUUAAGCUCCGGCUAACUACGUGCCAGCAGCCGCGGUAAUCCGUAGGGAGCCAGCGUUAUCCGGAUUUAUUGGGUGUAAAGGGUGCGUAGGCGGGGAAGCAAGUUAGUUGUGAAAUCCCUGGGCUUAACUGAGGAACUGCAACUAAAACUACUUCCCUUGAGUACUGGAGAGGAAAGUGGAAUUCCUAGUGUAGCGGUGAAAUGCGUAGAUAUUAGGAGGAACACCAGUGGCGAAGGCGACUUUCUGGACAGUAACUGACGUUGAGGCACGAAAGUGUGGGGAGCAAACAGGAUUAGAUACCCUUGUAGUC
rnacentral:rRNA from 1 species